UUUUCUAUUAUAGUGAUAAAAUGGUGUGAUCAAGGCAACUUGUAGAAGGAAGGGCCUAUUUAUAGUUCCUGUUCUUCUCAUGUCUCCUGAUCUAUAUGUCCUUCUACCUUCCCUUAAAUUUAGUGAUUUUCUUUUCUCUGAGAUCAGUGAUUAUCUAAUAAGUCCAGAAAAUGGUUUCUAGACUUCCAAGAAAUAAUUUCCACUGACCAUCAACAUCCAGAGGAAACUUCAAGGCCCACAUCAUGGUUUCAGCAUCAGAGCUGUGACUAGAGCCUCUUCACAAUGAAGCUUCACAUCACAGGAUAUCAGGAGAAGGCUACAAGAAGAUGAAGUUAAACUGAGCCAGUUCUCUGCCCUUUGGGCCACUGAUACCAACUGUGCAUGGCCCUGUGCCCAUUGGACACCACUAUCUUUGAGCCUGUCUGUCAUCUCAACUAGAAAUCAGCUAUUUAUUGUAACAGCCUCAGUGAGGUACAAUUGAGCAUCUGAUGUUAAACACCAGUAACCAGCAUGAGUAUUUUCAAGAUCAGGAUGAACCUGGACUGAGAGAACAAAGAUGACUAAGGUCGGCAUAGCAUGAAGCUCAUUGCAUAAGUUGCUUUUAUCAUCAGUCACUGACAAAAUGCUCAAUAAGAAUAUUCAAG
rnacentral:lncRNA from 1 species